rnacentral:rRNA from 1 species
UACGGGGGGGGCAAGCGUUGUUCGGAAUUACUGGGCGUAAAGGGGACGUAGGCGGCCAACUAAGUCCGACGUGAAAUCCCUCGGCUUAACCGGGGAACUGCGUCUGAUACUGGUUGGCUUGAAUCCGGGAGAGGGAUGUGGAAUUCCAGGUGUAGCGGUGAAAUGCGUAGAUAUCUGGAGGAACACCGGUGGCGAAGGCGGCAUCCUGGACCAACACUGACGCUGAGUGAGCGAAAGCCAGGGGAGCAAACGGG